CGGCAGGCCUAACACAUGCAAGUCGAGCGGUAACAGGUCCUUCGGGAUGCUGACGAGCGGCGGACGGGUGAGUAACGCAUAGGAAUCUACCCAGUAGUGGGGGAUAACGUGGGGAAACCCACGCUAAUACCGCAUACGUCUACGGGAGAAAGGGGGCUCCGGCUCCCGCUAUUGGAUGAGCCUAUGUCGGAUUAGCUAGUUGGUGAGGUAAUGGCUCACCAAGGCAACGAUCCGUAGCUGGUCUGAGWGGAUGAUCAGCCACAUCGGGACUGAGACACGGCCCGAACUCUACGGGAGGCAGCAGUGGGGAAUAUUGGACAAUGGGGGCAACCCUGAUCCAGCCAUGCCGCGUGUGUGAAGAAGGCCCUCGGGUUGUAAAGCACUUUCAGCGAGGAAGAACGCUAGCGGUUAAUACCCGUUAGGAAAGACAUCACUCGCAGAAGAAGCACCGGCUAACUCCGUGCCAGCAGCCGCGGUAAUACGGAGGGUGCAAGCGUUAAUCGGAAUUACUGGGCGUAAAGCGCGCGUAGGUGGCUUGAUAAGCCGGUUGUGAAAGCCCCGGGCUCAACCUGGGAACGGCAUCCGGAACUGUCAGGCUAGAGUACAGGAGAGGAAGGUAGAAUUCCCGGUGUAGCGGUGAAAUGCGUAGAGAUCGGAGGAAUACCAGUGGCGAAGGCGGCCUUCUGACUGAUACUGACACUGAGGUG
rnacentral:rRNA from 1 species